rnacentral:sRNA from 1 species
CUUAUUGAUAAUUCAAGAAUGUUGGCCUUCAACUGAAGAGGCUUGGAAAUAAACUGGAAGCCGGUUUGAUUUAAUGGCAGAAAAAAGAAAGCCUUUAGUUGAAUCAGGUUGGUUUUCUUUGGCAUAAAUGGUGCCUAGAAUCGAGUUUGCCACCGUUAAGAUGUUCUGAUCACAACGGUAGUUUUGGGUAAUGUAAAACUCGUUUUCGGGUCUUACCUUAAAAUCACUUUUUAAAGAAUCAAUAAUGUCACUAACCGCGCCCCUUCAGCGGUAAAUCAUCUGGUUAUUGUCACCCACUAAAAAAAGGUUUUGGUGAUGGCUGGCCAACAUCUUAAUUAGUUCAUACUGAAUUUGGUUGGUAUCUUGAAACUCAUCACCUAAAAUGUACUGAAAUUUUUUCGAUCACUUGCGCAAUAAUUUGUGAUCUUUGCUCAGUAAAGUGCAAGUUUUAAUUAAUAAAUCAGCAAAGUCAAUUUUAUUGUUCUGUUGUUUACCUUUUUCAUAUUCAACAAAAGCAGCAAUAGCGGUUUCUUUGAAAAGUUGAAAGUUACGCUCUUGGGGGUCUAAAUGAAACUCACACAACUCGACCAAUCUUUCAUCAUCCUUUAAGCUGUUGGUAUCAAAAUC